UACGUAGGAGGCGAGCGUUGUCCGGAUUUACUGGGCGUAAAGAGCGCGUAGGCGGCUGGCUAAGUCUGGUGUGAAAUCUCCCGGCCCAACUGGGAGGGGACACCAGAUACUGGCUGGCUUGAGUGCGGCAGAGGGAUGUGGAAUUCCCGGUGUAGUGGUGAAAUGCGUUGAUAUCGGGAGGAACACCAGUGGCGAAGGCGGCAUCCUGGGCCGUAACUGACGCUGAGGCGCGAAAGCGUGGGGAGCAAACCGG
rnacentral:rRNA from 1 species